AGUGCACUUGCAUACAGUUAACAGUAAAAUAUUGUUAUCUGAUUGAAGUGCAAACAGUAAGCGAAUCAGUCGCCUUUUCCAGGCCAUCAUGCAGGGAAAAGUGAAACCUGAUUUCAACAUUU